rnacentral:miRNA from 1 species
CUACCAAGCGUACCAACGCCG